UUCGGAGGUACUCGAGUGGCGAACGGGUGAGUAACACGUGGGCAAUCUGCCCUGCACUUCGGGAUAAGCCUGGGAAACUGGGUCUAAUACCGAAUAGGACCUCAAGACGCAUGUCUUUUGGUGGAAAGCUUUUGCGGUGUGGGAUGGGCCCGCGGCCUAUCAGCUUGUUGGUGGGGUGACGGCCUACCAAGGCGACGACGGGUAGCCGGCCUGAGAGGGUGUCCGGCCACACUGGGACUGAGAUACGGCCCAGACUCCUACGGGAGGCAGCAGUGGGGAAUAUUGCACAAUGGGCGCAAGCCUGAUGCAGCGACGCCGCGUGGGGGAUGACGGCCUUCGGGUUGUAAACCUCUUUCACCAUCGACGAAGGUCCGGGUUUUCUCGGAUUGACGGUAGGUGGAGAAGAAGCACCGGCCAACUACGUGCCAGCAGCCGCGGUAAUACGUAGGGUGCGAGCGUUGUCCGGAAUUACUGGGCGUAAAGAGCUCGUAGGUGGUUUGUCGCGUUGUUCGUGAAAUCUCACGGCUUAACUGUGAGCGUGCGGGCGAUACGGGCAGACUAGAGUACUGCAGGGGAGACUGGAAUUCCUGGUGUAGCGGUGGAAUGCGCAGAUAUCAGGAGGAACACCGGUGGCGAAGGCGGGUCUCUGGGCAGUAACUGACGCUGAGGAGCGAAAGCGUGGGGAGCGAACAGGAUUAGAUACCCUGGUAGUCCACGCCGUAAACGGUGGGUACUAGGUGUGGGUUUCCUUCCUUGGGAUCCGUGCCGUAGCUAACGCAUUAAGUACCCCGCCUGGGGAGUACGGCCGCAAGGCUAAAACUCAAAGGAAUUGACGGGGGCCCGCACAAGCGGCGGAGCAUGUGGAUUAAUUCGAUGCAACGCGAAGAACCUUACCUGGGUUUGACAUGCACAGGACGCGUCUAGAGAUAGGCGUUCCCUUGUGGCCUGUGUGCAGGUGGUGCAUGGCUGUCGUCAGCUCGUGUCGUGAGAUGUUGGGUUAAGUCCCGCAACGAGCGCAACCCUUGUCUCAUGUUGCCAGCGGGUAAUGCCGGGGACUCGUGAGAGACUGCCGGGGUCAACUCGGAGGAAGGUGGGGAUGACGUCAAGUCAUCAUGCCCCUUAUGUCCAGGGCUUCACACAUGCUACAAUGGCCGGUACAAAGGGCUGCGAUGCCGUAAGGUUAAGCGAAUCCUUUUAACNAGCCGGUCUCAGUUCGGAUUGGGACNNGACCCGUCUGCAACUCGACCCCAUGAAGUCGGAGUCGCUAGUAAUCGCAGAUCAGCAACGCUGCGGUGAAUACGUUCCCGGGCCUUGUACACACCGCCCGUCACGUCAUGAAAGUCGGUAACACCCGAAGCC
rnacentral:rRNA from 1 species